rnacentral:snRNA from 1 species
GUGCUUGCUUCGGCAGCACAUAUACUAAAAUCGGAAUAAAACAGAGAAGAUUAGCAUGGCCCCUGUGCAAGGAUGACACGCAAAUUCGCGAAGCGUUAAAAAAAAAA